rnacentral:rRNA from 1 species
CGAAGCGUGCGAUUGGAUUGCACGUCUAAGCAGUAAGGCUGAGUAUUAGGCAAAUCCGGUACUCGUUAAGGCUGAGCUGUGAUGGGGAGAAGACAUUGUGUCUUCGAGUCGUUGAUUUCACACUGCCGAGAAAAGCCUCUAGAUAGAAAAUAGGUGCCCGUACCGCAAACCGACACAGGUAGUCAAGAUGAGAAUUCUAAGGUGAGCGAGCGAACUCUCGUUAAGGAACUCGGCAAAAUGACCCCGUAACUUCGGGAGAAGGGGUGCUCUUUAGGGUUAACGCCCAGAAGAGCCGCAGUGAAUAGGCCCAAGCGACUGUUUAUCAAAAACACAGGUCUCUGCUAAACCGUAAGGUGAUGUAUAGGGGCUGACGCCUGCCCGGUGCUGGAAGGUUAAGAGGAGUGGUUAGCUUCUGCGAAGCUACGAAUCGAAGCCCCAGUAAACGGCGGCCGUAACUAUAACGGUCCUAAGGUAGCGAAAUUCCUUGUCGGGUAAGUUCCGACCCGCACGAAAGGCGUAACGAUUUGGGCACUGUCUCAACGAGAGACUCGGUGAAAUCAUAGUACCUGUGAAGAUGCAGGUUACCCGCGACAGGACGGAAAGACCCCGUGGAGCUUUACUGUAGCCUGAUAUUGAAAUUCGGCACAGCUUGUACAGGAUAGGUAGGAGCCUUUGAAACGUGAGCGCUAGCUUACGUGGAGGCGCUGGUGGGAUACUACCCUAGCUGUGUUGGCUUUCUAACCCGCACCACUUAUCGUGGUGGGAGACAGUGUCAGGCGGGCAGUUUGACUGGGGCGGUCGCCUCCUAAAAGGUAACGGAGGCGCUCAAAGGUUCCCUCAGAAUGGUUGGAAAUCAUUCAUAGAGUGUAAAGGCAUAAGGGAGCUUGACUGCGAGACCUACAAGUCGAGCAGGGUCGAAAGACGGACUUAGUGAUCCGGUGGUUCCGCAUGGAAGGGCCAUCGCUCAACGGAUAAAAGCUACCCCGGGGAUAACAGGCUUAUCUCCCCCAAGAGUUCACAUCGACGGGGAGGUUUGGCACCUCGAUGUCGGCUCAUCGCAUCCUGGGGCUGUAGUCGGUCCCAAGGGUUGGGCUGUUCGCCCAUUAAAGCGGUACGCGAGCUGGGUUCAGAACGUCGUGAGACAGUUCGGUCCCUAUCCGUCGUGGGCGUAGGAAAUUUGAGAGGAGCUGUCCUUAGUACGAGAGGACCGGGAUGGACAUACCUCUGGUGUACCAGUUGUCGUGCCAACGGCAUAGCUGGGUAGCUAUGUGUGGACGGGAUAAGUGCUGAAAGCAUCUAAGCAUGAAGCCCCCCUCAAGAUGAGAUUUCCCAACUUCGGUUAUAAGAUCCCUC